GAGCGGCGAACGGGUGAGUAACACGUGGGUGAUCUGCCUCGCACUUCGGGAUAAGCCUGGGAAACUGGGUCUAAUACCGGAUAUGACUUCUGGUCGCAUGGCUGGGGGUGGAAAGAUUUAUCGGUGCGAGAUGGGCCCGCGGCCUAUCAGCUUGUUGGUGGGGUAAUGGCCUACCAAGGCGACGACGGGUAGCCGGCCUGAGAGGGCGACCGGCCACACUGGGACUGAGACACGGCCCAGACUCCUACGGGAGGCAGCAGUGGGGAAUAUUGCACAAUGGGCGAAAGCCUGAUGCAGCGACGCCGCGUGAGGGAUGACGGCCUUCGGGUUGUAAACCUCUUUCGACAGGGACGAAGCGUAAGUGACGGUACCUGUAGAAGAAGCACCGGCCAACUACGUGCCAGCAGCCGGGGUAAUACGUAGGGUGCGAGCGUUGUCCGGAAUUACUGGGCGUAAAGAGCUUGUAGGCGGUUUGUCGCGUCGNCUGUGAAAACUCACAGCUCAACUGUGAGCUUGCAGGCAAUACGGGCAGACUUGAGUACUGCAGGGGAGACUGGAAUUCCU
rnacentral:rRNA from 1 species